GCGGCAGGCUUAACACAUGCAAGUCGAGCGAGAAGGGUUUUGAAGCUUGCUUUAGAACCCGGAAAGCGGCGAAAGGGAGAGUAACGAGUAGUUAUCUACCCCAAGGCCCGGAAUAGCUGCGGGAAACUGCAGGUAAUGCCGGAUAAUAUCCCCGGAUCAAAGGUGUGAUUCCGCCUUGGGAGGAGACUGCUUUGUACUAGCUUGUUGGUAGGGUAAUGGCCUACCAAGGCUACGAUGCAUAGCGGGCGUGAGAGCGUGGCCCGUCUCACUGGGACUGAAACACUGCCCAGACACCUACGGGUGGCUGCAGUCGAGAAUCUUCGGCAAUGGGCGAAAGCCUGACCGAGCGAUGCCGCGUGCGGGAUGAAGGCCCUCGGGUUGUAAACCGCUGUCGUAGAGGAGAAAGGUCUCGUGAAGAGCGAGAUUUGAUCUAUUCUAGGAGGAAGUCGGGGCUAAGUUCGUGCCAGCCGCCGCCGUAACAC
rnacentral:rRNA from 1 species